rnacentral:rRNA from 2 species
UAUACAUGCAAGUCGAGCGGAGUAGUUUUGAAAAGCUUGCUUUUCAAAACUUAGCGGCGGACGGGUGAGUAACACGUGGGCAACCUGCCCUUGAGACGGGGAUAACUCCGGGAAACCGGAGCUAAUACCGGAUAACACAUAUCUUCGCAUGAGGAUAUGUUAGAAGGUGGCUUUUAGCUACCACUCAAGGAUGGGCCCGCGGCGCAUUAGCUAGUUGGUGAGGUAACGGCUCACCAAGGCGACGAUGCGUAGCCGACCUGAGAGGGUGAUCGGCCACACUGGGACUGAGACACGGCCCAGACUCCUACGGGAGGCAGCAGUAGGGAAUCUUCCGCAAUGGACGAAAGUCUGACGGAGCAACGCCGCGUGAGUGAUGAAGGUUUUCGGAUCGUAAAGCUCUGUUGUUAGGGAAGAACAAGUAUCUGUUGAAUAAGCAGGUACCUUGACGGUACCUAACCAGAAAGCCACGGCUAACUACGUGCCAGCAGCCGCGGUAAUACGUAGGUGGCAAGCGUUGUCCGGAAUUAUUGGGCGUAAAGCGCGCGCAGGCGGUUCCUUAAGUCUGAUGUGAAAGCCCACGGCUCAACCGUGGAGGGUCAUUGGAAACUGGGGAACUUGAGUGCAGAAGAGGAGAGCGGAAUUCCACGUGUAGCGGUGAAAUGCGUAGAGAUGUGGAGGAACACCAGUGGCGAAGGCGGCUCUCUGGUCUGUAACUGACGCUGAGGCGCGAAAGCGUGGGGAGCGAACAGGAUUAGAUACCCUGGUAGUCCACGCCGUAAACGAUGAGUGCUAAGUGUUAGAGGGUUUCCGCCCUUUAGUGCUGCAGCAAACGCAUUAAGCACUCCGCCUGGGGAGUACGGGUCGCAAGACUGAAACUCAAAGGAAUUGACGGGGAACCCGCACAAGCGGUGGAGCAUGUGGUUUAAUUCGAAGCAACGCGAAGAACCUUACCAGGUCUUGACAUCCUCUGCUACUUCUAGAGAUAGAAGGUUCCCUUCGGGGACAGAGUGACAGGUGGUGCAUGGUUGUCGUCAGCUCGUGUCGUGAGAUGUUGGGUUAAGUCCCGCAACGAGCGCAACCCUUGAUCUUAGUUGCCAGCAUUCAGUUGGGCACUCUAAGGUGACUGCCGGUGACAAACCGGAGGAAGGUGGGGAUGACGUCAAAUCAUCA